rnacentral:rRNA from 1 species
GACGAACGCUGGCGGUAUGCUUAACACAUGCAAGUCGAACGAGAAGUCUUUUAUUGAACCUUCGGGGGAUAUAAGAGACAGACAGUGGCGAACGGGUGAGUAACGCGUGGGCAACCUACCUAUCGGAGCGGGAUAGCCUCGAGAAAUCGGGAGUAAAACCGCAUAACACGGAUAUAUCGCAUGAUGAAUCCGUCAAAACUCCGGUGCCGAUAGAUGGGCCCGCGUCUGAUUAGCUAGUUGGUAAGGUAAGGGCUUACCAAGGCAACGAUCAGUAGCCGGUCUGAGAGGGCGAACGGCCACACUGGAACUGAGUCACGGUCCAGACUCCUACGGGAGGCAGCAGUGGGGAAUAUUGCGCAAUGGGGGCAACCCUGACGCAGCAAUACCGCGUGAGUGAAGAAGGUUUUCGGAUCGUAAAGCUCUGUUAUUGGGGAAGAAGCAGUGACGGUACCCAAUGAGGAAGUCCCGGCUAACU